rnacentral:misc_RNA from 1 species
AGUCGUAACAAGGUCUCCGUUGGUGAACCAGCGGAGGGAUCAUUACCGAGUUUACAAACUCCCAAACCCUUUGUGAACCUUACCUAUCGUUGCUUCGGCGGGAUCGCCCCGGCGCCUUCGGGCCCGGAACCAGGCGCCCGCCGGAGGCCCCAAACUCUUAUGUCUUUAGUGGUUUUCUCCUCUGAGUGACACAUAAACAAAUAAAUAAAAACUUUCAACAACGGAUCUCUUGGUUCUGGCAUCGAUGAAGAACGCAGCGAAAUGCGAUAAGUAAUGUGAAUUGCAGAAUUCAGUGAAUCAUCGAAUCUUUGAACGCACAUUGCGCCCGCCAGUAUUCUGGCGGGCAUGCCUGUUCGAGCGUCAUUUCAACCCUCAGGCCCCCAGUGCCUGGCGUUGGGGAUCGGCGUGGGCGGCGACGGCUCUCCGGAGCCCGAGCCAAUGCCUGCCGGCCCCGAAAUUCAGUGGCGGUCUCGCUGUAGUCCCCCUCUGCGUAGUAGCACAACUCGCAUUGGAGCUCGGCGGUGGCCAUGCCGUAAAACACCCCACUUCUGAAAGUUGACCUCGGAUCAGGUAGGAAUACCCGCUGAACCUAAGCAUAUCA